GAGAACGGAGCAGAGGACCACAGGCUGUGAGACUGCAGCGGGGAACGAGUCAGAGCACUGCCGGGAGACGGGAGACAAAAAACACCAACUCAUCCUGUUUUAUUCCUACAGCUGCGAGAAGAGGGAAAAACCUGUCCACGUUUGCUUAAACAGGUCUGAAGUCCUUCUCAGCAGUCAGAGUCUGUGGAUAUCUCCAACUGGAGGACAAACCCCUUUGAUUGGAUCCCCAUAGUGUGUGUGUGUUAGUGUGUGCGUGUGUUUGUGUGUGUGUCUGUGUGAUCUAGGCUCUGUGACCUGAUGGGAAGUGUAUCUCAGACCUGCCAUGUUUCCACUCUCCCUCAUAGCGCCUCCUCCAAUGCAUGCUGGGUAAUCACAUUGUCUUCUCACCUGGUGAGAACAGACCUGCUGCCUGUGUGUGUGUGGUUGUGUAUGUGUGGUUGUGUGUGUUUGUUUGUGUGUGUGCGUGUGUACAGUAUGUGUGAAGGAAGACCUGCUGUCUUCUCUUAUGAGAGGUGAGAGACCACUGCAGUAUACUCCAUCCAAUAUAU
rnacentral:lncRNA from 1 species